AGAGUUUGAUCCUGGCUCAGGAAUAACGCUGGCGGCAUGCAUCAUACAUGCAAGUCGAACGGAGUUUGUUAAGCUUGCUUUUCAAACUUAGUGGCGCACGGGUGAGUAACGCGUAGAUAACCUACCCCAAAGACUGGGAUAACAGGCCGAAAGGUCUGCUAAUACCGGGUACGCUCCUCUGAUCGCAUGGUCGGGGGAUGAUAGGGUUGCCUCUGUUUCAAGCUUCCGCUUUGGGAUGGGUCUGCGUACGAUUAGCUAGUUGGUGGGGUAACGGCCUACCAAGGCAAUGAUCGUUAGCCGGCUUGAGAGAGUGAACGGCCACACUGGAACUGAGACACGGUCCAGACUCCUACGGGAGGCAGCAGUAGGGAAUCUUCCGCAAUGGGCGAAAGCCUGACGGAGCAAUGCCGCGUGAGGGAUGAAGGCCUUCGGGUCGUAAACCUCUGUUGUUAGGGAAGAAAGUCAGAUGGUCCAAUAGGCUGUCUGGUUGACGGUACCUAGCGAGGAAGCCCCGGCUAAUUACGUGCCAGCAGCCGCGGUAACACGUAAGGGGCAAGCGUUUUCCGGAUUUACUGGGCGUAAAGGGCGCGUAGGCGGUUUGGUCAGUCAGAGGUGAAAGCUUCGAGCUUAACUCGGAAAUUGCCUUUGAAACUGCCAGACUUGAGUGCUUCAAGGGAUAGUGGAAUUCCUGGUGUAGCGGUGAAAUGCGUAGAUAUCAGGGAGAACACCGGUGGCGAAGGCGGCUAUCUGGGGAGCAACUGACGCUGAGGCGCGAAAGCUAGGGGAGCGAACAGGAUUAGAUACCCUGGUAGUCCUAGCUGUAAACGAUGAGUACUAGGUGUUGGGGUGUUGACCUCGGUGCCGGCGCAAACGCAUUAAGUACUCCGCCUGGGGACUACGGUCGCAAGAUUGAAACUCAAAGGAAUUGACGGGGGCCCGCACAAGCGGUGGAGCAUGUGGUUUAAUUCGAUGCAACGCGAAAAACCUUACCUGGCCUUGACAUCCCUGGCAACCUUAUGAAAGUAAGGGUUCCCCGCGAGGGGACCGGGUGACAGGUGGUGCAUGGCUGUCGUCAGCUCGUGUCGUGAGAUGUUGGGUUAAGUCCCGCAACGAGCGCAACCCCUGCUGUUAGUUACCAGCAUUUAGUUGGGGACUCUAACAGGACUGUCGGUCUUAAACCGGAGGAAGGUGGGGAUGACGUCAAGUCAUCAUGCCCCUUACGGCCAGGGCUACACACGUGCUACAAUGGCUGGUACAAAGAGCUGCGAAGCGGUAACGCUGAGCCAAUCUCAAAAGCCAGCCCAAGUUCGGAUUGAGGGCUGAAACUCGGCCUCAUGAAGUCGGAAUCGCUAGUAAUCGUGAAUCAGCAUGUCACGGUGAAUACGUUCCCGGGCCUUGUACACACCGCCCGUCACACCACCCGAGUUGGGUGCUCCCGAAGUCGCUGAUCCAACCUUUUCGGAGGAGGAAGGUGCCGAAGGAGUGCUUGGUAAGGGGGGUGAAGUCGUAACAAGGUA
rnacentral:rRNA from 1 species